rnacentral:tRNA from 1 species
GGGCGCGUAGCUCAGUUGGUUAGAGCGCGUCACUGAUAAUGACGAGGUCCCUGGUUCGACUCCAGGCGCGCCCACCA